ensembl:lncRNA
GGAGAAGCUAGAAUGUGCACCUGGGCAAGUAAUGGUGGGAAACUUUAAGCUGACUUCAUUGCUGAAGAAAAUCUAAAGUGUAAACACACACGAAGUGUCUGACUGAUGCACCCAGAGUUGGUAUACAUUGCCAGUUGUUAACUAGAAGUGCUGGAAAUAAGCAUGUGCUGCAUAUAUAGUUCUUUGGUUUUGCAAAAAAUAGCAGUAAGUACCCACGUCCCACUGCACAACACAAAUUAUUGAUGCUGCUCAGAUACUGGCUGAAUGUGCAAUCAAACUAAUAAUACAAUUCUUCUAAUUGAAAUCUAAUCCUCAAAGGGUCACCGUCUAAUGGAGCUGUAAGUGCAACAGAACUGCGAAGUUGCGGAUUUGCGAACUUCCUGUCAAAGCGCGUGUUCGCUGUUGCAAGGCUUUUAGUACAGCUGCUUCUGGUGAUGGACACUUUCCACUAACUCUCGAAUCUGAGAUCAAACGGACUCAAGAAGUGUCUUGAUAAUGCUGAAUG